rnacentral:lncRNA from 1 species
UCAGCGCUUGCCCAUGGUACCUUUGCAGUGGUCUUCUGGUAGUGUCAAUGCUCCUGUUACAAUGGCAUUGCCCCCAUGUGCCAGGGAAAAGCACUAAUUCAUAUUUUUCCUUCCCCAAGAGUCUGGAAGAGGGGACAGAUAGAGCUGUUCCUGUCCCAUAGCUCCCUGGUGUGCUACCAGCCUCCUCGUUACAGAUGUGAACAGGCCACCACAGAGGUUUGUUGCAAGUACUGAUACUUCCCCUGUCAGAUCACUUCUGCAAAUCCCUCUGAGCUCUUCUUGAUUUGGUCUAUCACCACCAUUGUGAGAUACACUGGAAUAAUUGCCCAUCUGACGACAGGAAAACAUGCAAGCCCUUGGAAGUGGAACUUGCUUUAUACAUAUGAGAAUGGAGCAAGCAAUGCUUCCAAUAAAAGAAUUGUGAAACUAUUCCCAUCGGUGGCCUGUCCUCUACCCACAAUGGUGAUGGAGAAGACUGUUGGAUUUCCAUCAGGAGAACAAUUUGAGUGUGGACUCUACUGCCACAAAUUUAAGAAAGCUCUCCAGUUGCUGCUUGCCAAAGAAACAGGUGAUUUUUUUUUCCUUUUUUUUUUUUUUUUUUGAGAUAUUGACCAGUAAACAUGGGAAUCAACUUCAUCUGAAAUGCUUGUGUCUUAAUAUUUGUGUGACUUUCCUUCCUGCUCUAUGACUUGUUGAUUAUUUUUGAGUGCUCUAGGGCUUAAAGCA